rnacentral:rRNA from 1 species
AUUGAAUGCUGGCGGCAGGCCUAACACAUGCAAGUCGAGCGGAUGAGUGGAGCUUGCUCCAUGAUUCAGCGGCGGACGGGUGAGUAAUGCCUAGGAAUCUGCCUGGUAGUGGGGGACAACGUUUCGAAAGGAACGCUAAUACCGCAUACGUCCUACGGGAGAAAGUGGGGGAUCUUCGGACCUCACGCUAUCAGAUGAGCCUAGGUCGGAUUAGCUAGUGGGUGAGGUAAAGGCUCACCAAGGCGACGAUCCGUAACUGGUCUGAGAGGAUGAUCAGUCACACUGGAACUGAGACACGGUCCAGACUCCUACGGGAGGUAGCAGAGGGGAAUAUUGGACAAUGGGCGAAAGCCUGAUCCAGCCAUGCCGCGUGUGUGAAGAAGGUCUUCGGAUUGUAAAGCACUUUAAGUUGGGAGGAAGGGCAGUAAGUUAAUACCUUGCUGUUUUGACGUUACCAACAGAAUAAGCACCGGCUAACUUAGUGCCAGCCGCCGCUGUAAAAC